UCCAAGUACUCCACAGCGUGGCUGGCAAGAAAGGGUAUAAAAGAAGAAAAUCUAAUGACAUGGCCUCCUUGUUCCCCUGAUCUGAACCCCAUUGAGAACCUGUGGUCCAUCAUCAAAUGUGAGAUUUACAAGGAGGGAAAACAGUACACCUCUCUGAACAGUGUCUGGGAGGCUGUGGUUGCUGCUGCACGCAAUGUUGAUGGUGAACAGAUCAAAACACUGACAGAAU